GCCCCUAUGGUGAAAUGGUAGACACGGUAGACUCAAAAUCUAUUGCCUGAAAAGGUAUGCUGGUUCAAGUCCGGCUAGGGGCA
rnacentral:tRNA from 1 species